GGGUUGUGAGGUUAAGCGACUAAGCGUACACGGUGGAUGCCCUGGCAGUCAGAGGCGAUGAAGGACGUGCUAAUCUGCGAUAAGCGUCGGUGAGGUGAUAUGAACCGUUAUAACCGGCGAUUUCCGAAUGGGGAAACCCAGUGUGUUUCGACACACUAUCAUUAACUGAAUCCAUAGGUUAAUGAGGCGAACCGGGGGAACUGAAACAUCUAAGUACCCCGAGGAAAAGAAAUCAACCGAGAUUCCCCCAGUAGCGGCGAGCGAACGGGGAGGAGCCCAGAGCCUGAAUCAGUGUGUGUGUUAGUGGAAGCGUCUGGAAAGGCGCGCGAUACAGGGUGACAGCCCCGUACACAAAAAUGCACAUAUUGUGAGCUCGAUGAGUAGGGCGGGACACGUGGUAUCCUGUCUGAAUAUGGGGGGACCAUCCUCCAAGGCUAAAUACUCCUGACUGACCGAUAGUGAACCAGUACCGUGAGGGAAAGGCGAAAAGAACCCCGGCGAGGGGAGUGAAAAAGAACCUGAAACCGUGUACGUACAAGCAGUGGGAGCCUCUUAAUGGGGUGACUGCGUACCUUUUGUAUAAUGGGUCAGCGACUUAUAUUCUGUAGCAAGGUUAACCGAAUAGGGGAGCCGAAGGGAAACCGAGUCUUAACUGGGCGUUAAGUUGCAGGGUAUAGACCCGAAACCCGGUGAUCUAGCCAUGGGCAGGUUGAAGGUUGGGUAACACUAACUGGAGGACCGAACCGACUAAUGUUGAAAAAUUAGCGGAUGACUUGUGGCUGGGGGUGAAAGGCCAAUCAAACCGGGAGAUAGCUGGUUCUCCCCGAAAGCUAUUUAGGUAGCGCCUCGUGAAUUCAUCUCCGGGGGUAGAGCACUGUUUCGGCAAGGGGGUCAUCCCGACUUACCAACCCGAUGCAAACUGCGAAUACCGGAGAAUGUUAUCACGGGAGACACACGGCGGGUGCUAACGUCCGUCGUGAAGAGGGAAACAACCCAGACCGCCAGCUAAGGUCCCAAAGUCAUGGUUAAGUGGGAAACGAUGUGGGAAGGCCCAGACAGCCAGGAUGUUGGCUUAGAAGCAGCCA
rnacentral:rRNA from 1 species